rnacentral:rRNA from 1 species
CCUACGGGAGGCAGCAGUAGGGAAUCUUCCACAAUGGACGAAAGUCUGAUGGAGCAACGCCGCGUGAGUGAAGAAGGGUUUCGGCUCGUAAAGCUCUGUUGGUAGUGAAGAAAGAUAGAGGUAGUAACGGGCCUUGAGUUGACGGUAAUGACGGAGAAAGUCACGGCUAACGACGUGCCAGCAGCCGCGGUAAUACGUAGGUGGCAAGCGUUGUCCGGAUUUAGUGGGCGGAAAGCGAGUGCAGGCGGUUCCAUAAGUCUGAGGUGAAAGCCUUCGGCUCAACCGGAGAAUUGCAUCCGAAACUUUUGAACUUGAGUGCAGCAGAGGCGAGUGGAACUCCCUUUGUAGCGGUGGCAUGCGUAGCUAUAUGG